UUACGGGAGGCAGCAGUGGGGAAUAUUGCGCAAUGGGGGAAACCCUGACGCAGCAACGCCGCGUGAGUGAGGAAGGACUUCGGUCUGUAAAGCUCUGUUAAUGUGGAAAAAUGGUUAGCGGUCUAAUAGGCCGUUGAUUUGAUGGUACACAUAGAGGAAGCACCGGCUAACUUCGUGCCAGCAGCCGCGGUAAUACGAAGGGUGCAAGCGUUGUUCGGAUUUAUUGGGCGUAAAGCGCGCGUAGGCGGACCUGCAAGUCAGAUGUGAAAUCUCGGGGCUCAACCCCGAAACUGCGUCUGAAACUACAGGUCUAGAAUCUUGGAGGGGGUAGGGGAAUUUCGCAUGUAGGGGUAAAAUCCGUAGAUAUGCGAAGGAACACCAGAGGCGAAGGCGCCUGCCUGGACAAGUAUUGACGCUGAGGCGCGAAAGCGUGGGGAUCAAACAGGAUUAGAUACCCUAGUAGUCCU
rnacentral:rRNA from 1 species